GUCGAGAAUCUUCCGCAAUGGGCGAAAGCCUGACGGAGCGACGCCGCGUGGAGGACGAAGGCCUUCGGGUUGUAAACUCCUGUCACGAGUUAAGAAGGUGCUAUCGCGAACAGCGGUAGUAUUUGACGUAAGCUCGAGAGGAAGCACUGGCUAACUCUGUGCCAGCAGCCGCGGUAAUACAGAGAGUGCAAACGUUGUUCGGAAUUACUGGGCUUGAAGCGCACGUAGGCGGCAUCGUAAGUGUCGGGUGAAAUCCCACGGCUCACCCGUGGAACUGCCCGGCAUACUGCGAUGCUCGAGUGUGGUAGGGAAGAGCGGAACUCCUGGUGGAGCGGUGAAAUGCGUAGAUAUCAGGAGGAACACCGGUGGCGAAGGCGGCUCUUUGGUCCACAACUGACGCUGAGGUGCGAAAGCCAGGGGAGCAAACGGGAUUAGAAACCCUAGUAGUCC
rnacentral:rRNA from 1 species